CUACUCUUGACAUCCAGAGAAUUCGCUAGAGAUAGCUUAGUGCCUUCGGGAACUCUGAGACAGGUGCUGCAUGGCUGUCGUCAGCUCGUGUUGUGAAAUGUUGGGUUAAGUCCCGCAACGAGCGCAACCCUUAUCCUUUGUUGCCAGCGAGUAAUGUCGGGAACUCAAAGGAGACUGCCGGUGACAAACCGGAGGAAGGUGGGGAUGACGUCAAGUCAUCAUGGCCCUUACGAGUAGGGCUACACACGUGCUACAAUGGCAUAUACAAAGAGAAGCGAACUCGCGAGAGCAAGCGGACCUCACAAAGUAUGUCGUAGUCCGGAUCGGAGUCUGCAACUCGACUCCGUGAAGUCGGAAUCGCUAGUAAUCGUAGAUCAGAAUGCUACGGUGAAUACGUUCCC
rnacentral:rRNA from 1 species